UACGAAGGGGGCUAGCGUGGUUCGGAAUUACUGGGCGUAAAGCGCGUGUAGGCGGGUCUUUAAGUCAGGGGGGAAAUGCCAAGGCUCAACCUUGGAACUGCCUUUGAUACUGGAGACCUUGAGUCCGGGAGAGGUGAGUGGAAUUGCGAGUGUAGAGGUGAAAUUCGUAGAUAUUCGCAAGAACACCAGUGGCGAAGGCGGCUCACUGGCCCGGAACUGACGCUGAGACGCGAAAGCGUGGGGAGCAAACAGG
rnacentral:rRNA from 1 species